AUGAACGCUGGCGGCGUGCCUAAUACAUGCAAGUCGAGCGAACAGACGAGGAGCUUGCUCCUCUGACGUUAUCGGCGGACGGUUGAGUAACACGUGGAUAACCUACCUAUAAGACUGGGAUAACUUCGGGAAACCGGAGCUAAUACCGGAUAAUAUAUUUAACCGCAUGGUUCAAUAGUGAAAGACGGUUUUGCUGUCACUUAUAGAUGGAUCCGCGCCGCAUUAGCUAGUUGGUAAGUUAACGGCUUACCAAGGCAACGAUGCGUAGCCGACCUGAGAGGGUGAUCGGCCACACGGGAACUGAGACACGGUCCAGACACCUACGGGAGGCAGCAGUAGGGAAUCUUACGCAAUGGGCGAAAGCCUGACGGAGCAACGCCGCGUGAGUGAUGAAGGUCUUCGGAUCGUAAAACUCUGUUAUUAGGGAAGAACAAAUGUGUAAGUAACUAUGCACGUAUUGACGGUACCUAAUCAGAAAGCCACGGCUAACUACGUG
rnacentral:rRNA from 1 species